GGAGUGCUGCUGCCGUGAGGGAGCUGACAAAAGUUUGCUGGUAUUCGCCUGGUUAAAUAAAAGCUGUAGUGGCACUGUAAUGAAAAAAACUUGUUUUCUAGUUUUUCGGCAGCCUUAUCUUGCAAGUUUGAUAUCUUCAUGCUGUUUUCUGUGCCGGUUUUGCCGUAGUAAUUUACACUGGGAGGAAAAGGUGUCGUUUCUGGAUUGUGCAGGUAGGGAUGAACAGGAUGUAUUGCAAAUCAACUUGAAAGAAAGUUUUAUACAACCCAUCAUUUUUCUAUUGAUCAUUUUUCUUAGCGGAUUGUUGUAUUAAGAAAUACCUAAUGCAAUUGUCUAUGAAAUUGCUGCUUAAGGUGACUUUCAUUUGACAUUUUGGUAGUUACAGACUAUGUUCAGUUUAUAUUGAAGACAACUUUAAAGGAAUGAUUCUUUACUAUGCAAUUGUGUUCUGAAUUUUUUCCUUUUGUGUGUAAUUCCACUCAGUAAUGUAGAAAUUACCUUCAAGGGUGCAUGCUUUCUGACAGGCAAGUCCCAUUUUUUCAUUGUUUUCCACUUUAAAUAGAAGGGGGAAACCUUGGCAGUGCUUUCUUAUGGGUUUGAAUUAAGGGUCACUGCCCCUUUUUGUUGUCCUAAGGCUUAAAUUGAGGGGGAAGACAGCUGUCCCUAUGUUGUUUCAUCACUGGAGAGAUUUAAAAUGAGCAACACCCCUCUUUUCCCAAUAUUUUAGGGGAUUAAAUUAAAGGACAGAAGCCAUUUAUUUGCCAUUGCAUUAGUUUAAAUGGAGGUAAAUGCCUAAUUUCCUUGUUUUAAGGGAUUCACCUGAUGGAAGCUCUGUCUUUUUCAGCAUUUUAAGGAUUUAAAACUGCAUUUCAGAGCACUUCUAUCUGCCCUGGAACUAAAUAUCUCAGACAAGGGCAGUCCAGGCCUGUACUUAACCCUGAUGCUGCCCAGUAGUCUAUUAUUUUUCUUAUUUAUAUUUAUAAUAUAGAUAGCCCUAAUUAAAGGUCCCAAGGAGACUUGGACCAUUCAUAUCAUUAGUAUUGUUCUCCACCCUACUUAGUCAUAUGUGGAAUACUACUUAGUAGUCACUAAGGAAUAAUUAUGUAAGCUAUCAACGAGUUACCCAACUUAACUAGCUAUGCUGCUUAAACACAAAGUUUUGUUUCUUACUGGUUUUCUGCCUUUUGCUCAAAGCAGCGGUAACAAAAAAAAAAACAAAAAAAAAAACCAACCAAACAAAAAAAAAAACCACAUCGUCAUUUCCUUGAAGAUCAAUCCCUUUACUCCCCUUGAAUUCAAGUCAGAGGAGCCAAACAUCUGCAGCUCCUCUGAGGGCUUUUCUACUUUAUGGGAUUUGCCCCCUCCCUUUUCCCGAGCAUCAUUGGAACAAAAGGCAGGCCCAAUCAGGGGUAUAUUAACCCCAGCCUUUACUAAAGGGCUUCAUUCCGUCUUUGGGAACCACUGGGGUAAGAGGUCUUUCAUUUCAGUGAAGAAGGUCUUAUAGCUAUUUCAGCUUGUUUUCAGCAGGUGCUUUUGGGCAUCUGAAGCAACAGGGUCUUUGAACAUACUGUGAAGAAUACAGAAUUGAACACAAGGAGUAUUUAAAUUCAUGAUUUUGGGUUGUGUGUUCAGGGGUGAUUAGGUGCUUUUGUAAUUUCUGGGUUUGUUCUUUUUUUUUUUUUUUUUUUUUACAAGGAGCACAACUUCCUGAAAUUCCAGGCUGUGUCAAGUGCGACACUUCAGAUUUUUUCAGCAGCUUCAUCAUGUCACUACAGGGAUCUGCUCUGAGUUGAAGAUCAUGUUUGAGAUUGAGGCUUCAGAUGAGUAAAGCUGAGGAUUGUGACCCGGAGAGGGAGGAUGCAGGCAGUUUAAAUCCAUGGCAGAAUGCCCCAUCCCUGGAGAAGGGGGUUCCCUGGUCAGGAAUUAAAUCCAGAUGUUGGCAGUCAAGGCAAUCCACUCGGAGUAUGCCAAGCCCCCAUCACCAACCAGCUGGUGGACCAGGUUUCCUGUGCUUGUGAGCAGUCUGGAAAUAUUUCAGGACUCUGUGAUGGAGCUUUGAAAUCUAUUAUUUCAAGGUGGCAUCUGGGCAUACCCUGUGAUGAUGGCCUCAGCCUCUGAGCAAGGCCGGAGCGUGUGGCCCAAGCACCUGGGCAUUCUUAGGAGGAUGCUAAGCAAGGGACCACAGCCCGGUGACCACAGGAAAUUCCCAGCGGGCGAGGUGACCUUCCUUCAUACCUGACGUGGAUUCUCAUCCCCAGAUGUCCAAGAGAUAAGUCGAGGGCUAUGAACCAUAGAGAGGAUGAAAGCGAAGUGCUGGGAGGGCUUUUUGAAUCAGCUUUGGUGGCAGAUUCAGAUGGUCUCAAUUCAUAGCAGACUGCUCCAUCCCCGUUCAGCAGGUUUCCUUGAGAACGUCAGUCGCUGUUUGUUUUUGCACGUGAAGCAAACACAAGUGUUACAGCACUGUUCUUUGUCCUUAUUUUUAUGAAGUUAUAUGGGAUAGCAGCAGUCAUGCUGAAGUGGGCGCGGUGAGCAUUGAGCAGCAGACAAAAGCGGUUGUUUUUGCUCAGUUUGCAAUUUCUGGUGAAACUCUAAGCAUCCACUAUUGGUUUUUUUUUGAAUUUUAGGCAGUCCUCUUGCAAUAUGUCUCUGGUCCCAGAUGUCUGAGGCCAGGUGCUGUCCACUGCCCUGGCUGUGAGAAGGAACUGAGGUGAGCGGGUGAGUCGGCAUUUAGGCAGAGUGACUCAUAGGUGACUGUUACGCAGCAGCAUGCUAAGCUUGUACUUUUUUAUUUUGCAGGUAUCUUCCGAGCAGCCUGUGGAGUCAAAUCAAGAUUUCAGAUGAGCUGGGGCAGUGGUGUGUCAGAGUUCCGGGGAUUCCUCUUUUGGAGGGUGCUAAUUGCAUUUUCUGCUUUGUCUUAGGUACCGUGAGGCAUCGCGUAGUUGAAGUUUGGAAACAGCAGCACCAAAGUGGAGGUAGAGAAUGUCUCGUCGUCCAUGUCCAACUGACAUUGGAUUCCAUCUGGUCAUCUUGCAAAAGCUAAGUGCUGGCGCCAAUAGGUGGGAGAAGGGGAAAAACUAUUACUAUCACAGGAGGCAAUUUGAUGUUAGCUUAGAGGAGAGGCCCGUAGUGGGACGGGUCCCUCGGAAGCAAAGGGAGAGGGUUUCUCCUCAGCCCCACUAGAAUCUUUGCCGGGCAGGGCAGUUCCAAUCCAUCUCCGCGUUCUCGUGAGGUUCACAUCGGCGGCCUGCUUAGACUCUUGACGUCGUCGUGGAUCUUUUCACCCGAGGAGCCCGCCUUCACGUCUGGAGCUGUAGCUACAGUCACCCGGUAGUCAUUGCUUUCUUUAGGCCUACUGUGCUUCUUAGGCUUCCUCUUAAGUGCUUUGGCACUAACAUCUUGAAAGGAGUUACAUUUCAUCAUCAUGUGCUAGUGCCCUAGGGCUUUCUUUCCUUUGGCAUCAUCAGCCCAUGGCUCAUCUUGGGCUAGGAAUGUUGGGUCCAUAAGGUGAAACUGCCAGGCAGUUUCCACUUGUGUCUGUGUUAUGGUGUCCGCGUCUGUGUUACGGUGUCUGUGUCCAUUGAUUUCUGUGUCAUAGGCCUUUGUUACAUCCCCAUGCUGAUUUCUGUGUCAUAGGCCUUUGUUACAUCCCCAUGCUUUAGCAUCAUCAUUCUGUGCCAUAUUGGCCGUCUUUUACUUGCGUACCUUCCCGGAUAUCACUUACUCCGGCAUCUUUACAUUUUUACUUUUUGGGACAGGAAGACAUACACGAGAUGUUCUCAUCCAUCUUCCUUCUCAACUUUGGUAGUGCCUUUUCAUCCCAGUGCCAUUCUCUUGGUCUUCUAUAGGGAGCAUAUUAGACCCUCAUCACGUGACUGCAGUAGUUCUGUAGCUUCCACCUUCUCCAAGGGUAUAGGGCUCAAGAAUUAAUCUUCUGGAGAGUUAUGUCAAGUUCUCACUUAUAUUGUAUCUCUGUUGGCUUAUACUGUAUGUGCUUAUAUUGUAUGUACCUAUACUCUGUGUACCUAUGUUGGCUUAUAUUGUGCGUACUCACAUUGUAUGUACCUACCUUGGCUUAUGUUGUAUGCGCCUCUGUUGUGCCAAUCAUGAUAGGAGCUGCCCUGCCCGGGCACUCAGUUAUGCUUAGGUAGAGCAGUUAUAAGACUUUGCAGUUCAUCUGUCUUCUAUGGGGUUUUGGGUACAAAAUUUUUGGGCCUGGAGUGGGACUAGUUCCUAGCUGUCAGAUAGUCAGUCGUUGACCACCUCCCAUUGUCUCGCAGGUCCCCGGGUCCCUACACAUUUUCCUGGAGUCUACCAUUUGACAUUGAGGAGCUGUAGUCAGAUGAUGUGUUGAAGGAUAUUCUUCAGCGUAGUGUUACAAGUAAGGGUGGCAGUCAGUGUGUAAGCAGAAGAGUGUGUGAGAGAGUGUGAUUGUCUGUGUCUGUGAGAGCUUGUGUGUGCUUGUCUGCAGGUCUGAGCGUAUGUUGACCGGUUCUAAUGUUGUGUGUAUGACUUUUGUCUUUCAGGUUUUUUAACUAAUUUUUAAAUUUAGAAUAAAAAAUCCCCAGCUGUCAUUUUGGUUUUUUUUUUUCUCCCCCAGAUGGGGUUUUUUUCCCUUGGUCCUGGCCAGUCUGCGAGGCGACGUUCAUCGCCAAAGUUUGGAUACGGACUGGCCCAGGACAGGGGUUUUUGUCAGGCAGGAGGAUUUUUUGGAGGCUCCCGAGAGCCAUGUUCCCGAGGAACAAUGAUUCCUGGGGUGUAACGGAGCAGUUGAGAUGAGAGCAAUGGUGAGUUUGUGUGUAAUGUGAAGGAGGUGCUUAUGGUGGGUGAGUGUUGUUUUGUGUGUGUAAUCUUUGUUCUGGGUUUCCUCUAACAAUAAAACAAAAUGUAAUGAAAAUAGAAAAAAGAUCACAUUGUGUUAAUGUGUUUGGUUUCUAUUGCCCUGUGUUGUUCUGUAUUUGCAUUUGCUGCUGCAUUUCUAUGUACUGUAUAUAUGCAUGUAUAUGGAUUGUAUCUGUGCUUGCAUUUGUAUCCAUUGUUUCCAUGUGUUUCGUUGAAAUGUAAAUAAAAAAAUUAAUUCAAUAAAUUUGAAUAAACCCUA